rnacentral:rRNA from 1 species
ACGAACGCUGGCGGCGUGCCUAACACAUGCAAGUCGAACGGAACUUCUUUAAAGGAUUUCUUCGGAAUGAAUUUGAUUAAGUUUAGUGGCGGACGGGUGAGUAACGCGUGAGUAACCUGCCUCUGAGAGGGGAAUAACAUUCUGAAAAGAAUGCUAAUACCGCAUAAUAUAUAUUUAUCGCAUGGUAGAUAUAUCAAAGAUUUAUCGCUUAGAGAUGGACUCGCGUCCGAUUAGUUAGUUGGUGAGGUAACGGCUCACCAAGACUGCGAUCGGUAGCCGGACUGAGAGGUUGAACGGCCACAUUGGGACUGAGACACGGCCCAGACUCCUACGGGAGGCAGCAGUGGGGGAUAUUGCGCAAUGGGGGAAACCCUGACGCAGCAACGCCGCGUGAAGGAUGAAGGUCUUCGGAUUGUAAACUUCUUUUAUUAAGGACGAAGAAAGUGACGGUACUUAAUGAAUAAGCUCCGGCUAACUACGUGCCAGCAGCCGCGGUAAUACGUAGGGAGCAAGCGUUGUCCGGAUUUACUGGGUGUAAAGGGUGCGUAGGCGGCUUUGCAAGUCAGAUGUGAAAUCUAUGGGCUCAACCCAUAGCCUGCAUUUGAAACUGCAGAGCUUGAGUGAAGUAGAGGCAGGCGGAAUUCCCCGUGUAGCGGUGAAAUGCGUAGAGAUGGGGAGGAACACCAGUGGCGAAGGCGGCCUGCUGGGCUUUAACUGACGCUGAGGCACGAAAGCGUGGGUAGCAAACAGGAUUAGAUACCCUGGUAGUCCACGCUGUAAACGAUGAUUACUAGGUGUGGGGGGUCUGACCCCUUCCGUGCCGGAGUUAACACAAUAAGUAAUCCACCUGGGGAGUACGGCCGCAAGGUUAAAACUCAAAUGAAUUGACGGGGGCCCGCACAAGCGGUGGAGCAUGUGGUUUAAUUCGAUGCAACGCGAAGAACCUUACCAGGUCUUGACAUCCUACUAACGAGAUAGAGAUAUGUUAGGUGCCCUUCGGGGAAAGUAGAGACAGGUGGUGCAUGGUUGUCGUCAGCUCGUGCCGUGAGGUGUCGGCUUAAGUGCCAUAACGAGCGCAACCCCUCUCCGUAGUUGCCAUCGGGUGAUGCCGGGCACUCUGCGGACACUGCCACCGUAAGGUGUGAGGAAGGUGGGGAUGACGUCAAAUCAUCAUGCCCCUUACGACCUGGGCUACACACGUACUACAAUGGACAUAAACAGAGGGAAGCAAAACAGCGAUGUGGAGCAAACCCCUAAAAAUGUUCUCAGUUCAGAUUGCAGGCUGCAACCCGCCUGUAUGAAGAUGGAAUUGCUAGUAAUCGCAGAUCAGCAUGCUGCGGUGAAUACGUUCCCGGGCCUUGUACACACCGCCCGUCACACCAUGGGAGUGGGUUGCAAAAGAAGUAGGUAGCUUAACCUUCGGGAGGGCGCUUACCACUUUGUGAUUCAUGACUGGGGUG